rnacentral:rRNA from 1 species
CUACGGGCCGCUGCAGUGGGGAAUAUUGCACAAUGGGCGCAAGCCUGAUGCAGCCAUGCCGCGUGUAUGAAGAAGGCCUUCGGGUUGUAAAGUACUUUCAGCGGGGAGGAAGGGAGUAAAGUUAAUACCUUUGCUCAUUGACAUUACCCGCAGAAGAAGCACCGGCUAACUCCGUGCCAGCAGCCGCGGUAAUACGGAGGGUGCAAGCGUUAAUCGGAAUUACUGGGCGUAAAGUGCACGCAGGCGGUUUGUUAAGUCAGAUGUGAAAUCCCCGGGCUCAACCUGGGAACUGCAUCUGAUACUGGCAAGCUUGAGUCUCGUAGAGGGGGGUAGAAUUCCAGGUGUAGCGGUGAAAUGCGUAGAGAUCUGGAGGAAUACCGGUGGCGAAGGCGGCCCCCUGGACGAAGACUGACGCUCAGGUGCGAAAGCGUGGGGAGCAAACAGGAUUAGAUACCCUUGUAGUC